ensembl:rRNA 5S_rRNA 5S ribosomal RNA
GCUUACGGCCAUACCACCCUGAACACGCCCGAUCUCGAAGCUAAGCAGGGUCGGGCCUGGUUAGUACUUGGAUGGGAGACCGCCUGGGAAUACCAGGUGCUGUAAGCU